UACGUAGGGAGGCUAGCGUUGUCCGGAAUCAUUGGGCGUAAAGAGCGUGUAGGCGGUCCGGUAAGUCCGCUGUGAAAGUCGGGGGCUCAACCCUCGAAUGCCGGUGGAUACUGUCGGGCUAGAGUGCGGAAGAGGCGAGUGGAAUUCCUGGUGUAGCGGUGAAAUGCGCAGAUAUCAGGAAGAACACCCGUGGCGAAGGCGGCUCUCUGGUACGUGACUGACGCUGAGACGCGAAAGCGUGGGGAGCGAACAGG
rnacentral:rRNA from 1 species